rnacentral:rRNA from 1 species
UACAGAGGGGGCAAGCGUUAUUCGGAAUUAUUGGGCGUAAAGGGCGCGUAGGCGGCCUGGCAAGUGGAAGGUGAAAUCCCUCGGCUUAACCGAGGAACUGCCCUCCAAACUGCUUGGCUUGAGUCCGGGAGAGGUGAGUGGAAUUCCCAGUGUAGCGGUGAAAUGCGUAGAUAUUGGGAGGAACACCAGUGGCGAAGGCGGCUCACUGGACCGGAACUGACGCUGAGGCGCGAAGGCCAGGGGAGCAAACGGG